UACGAAGGGGACUAGCGUUGUUCGGAUUUACUGGGCGUAAAGCGCGCGUAGGCGGAUCACUAAGUCAGGGGUGAAAUCCCGAGGCUUAACCUCGGAACUGCCUUUGAUACUGGAGAUCUGGAGAUCGGGAGAGGUUGGUGGAAUUCCGAGUGUAGAGGUGAAAUUCGUAGAUAUUCGGAGGAACACCAGAAGCGAAGGCGGCCAACUGGCCCGAUACUGACGCUGAGGCGCGAAAGCGUGGGGAGCAAACAGG
rnacentral:rRNA from 1 species